GUGCUCGCUUUGGCAGCACACAUACUAAAAUUGGAACGAUACAAAGAAGAUUAGCAUGGCCCCUGCGUGAGGAUGACAUGCAAAUUCAGGAGGCGUUCAAUAUUUAA